GAAUUUUCCCACGUCGCUCUCUCUCCGCUCUAUGCCCUAGCUUCUCUCUUUGCUACUGUGCCGAGCGAUUCAUCUCUACAAUUGAUGGAUAAUUAGCUGAAUAUAGAUGAAUUUCUAGUGCAAUUACCGAAGAGGGAUGGCGAACAAGGGACUUAGCGCUCAAAGGCGGCAUGCACCGUGGUCCAGACAGUGUCGGUAGUCCCGUCGGUCGGCUAGGGAUAUUGUCUUUAUGAUUUGUAUAAUACUAUUGUCUUUAUGGUUUGUAAAAUAAUUGUAUUCAUUUGAUAUA